rnacentral:rRNA from 1 species
GAUGAACGCUGGCGGCGUGCCUAAUACAUGCAAGUCGAGCGAACAGAUGAGGAGCUUGCUCCUCUGACGUUAGCGGCGGACGGGUGAGUAACACGUGGAUAACCUACCUAUAAGACUGGGAUAACUUCGGGAAACCGGAUCUAAUACCGGAUAAUAUAUUGAACCGCAUGGUUCAAUAGUGAAAGACGGUUUUGCUGUCACUUAUAGAUGGAUCCGCGCCGCAUUAGCUAGUUGGUAAGGUAACGGCUUACCAAGGCAACGAUGCGUAGCCGACCUGAGAGGGUGAUCGGCCACACUGGAACUGAGACACGGUCCAGACUCCUACGGGAGGCAGCAGUAGGGAAUCUUCCGCAAUGGGCGAAAGCUUGACGGAGCAACGCCGCGUGAGUGAUGAAGGUCUUCGGAUCGUAAAACUCUGUUAUUAGGGAAGAACAAAUGUGUAAGUAACUAUGCACGUCUUGACGGUACCUAAUCAGAAAGCCACGGCUAACUACGUG